AUGCGCAAGGCAAGGGACGUUGGCGUCGGAGCACAACAGAACCCUGGCAUCCACGGCAGUGAGGCUCUCGAGCUUGGGGAGAGACCGGAGCUUGACCGUCAUCAACGGGCCGUCAGCGACAAGCUCUCUGAUUUCUUACAUGGGCGCGUCGAACACCAGCCAACGGGCCGUAUCCUUGUCGAAGGAGCAGGCGACGAGAUGCAGAACCCGCAGCUGCGGGCACGCAGCGACCACGCCCUCGUAGACGGCCGCCGGCGUAGAGCAGGGCAGGUCCCGCAGCAGCAGCGUGGUGAGCGCGGUGAAGCCAUCCAGCGGCGGGGGCAAGCAAUUGACGAGCUUGAGGCUUCGAAGGCGGGACUCGCCGGGCUUCCUGCUGAUACGACCACGGGGGAACGUGUAGACCGGACGAAGAUGUGUGAUCGGCUCCGUCGACUUGGCAACGACCUCCAGAUCCUCGACACCCCAGGAAUCGACGGCGUCCACGACCAAGCGGUUGAUGCUGGCGGAGGUGCUGAAGGCGAAGAACUCGAGCGACAGCCUGCUGCACGCACGCCGGUGGCGGCGGGCUCUGAGGCUCCUGACGGAGCUGACCAUGGCGCGCAUGGCGCGGCGCUCGUACCGCCCGAUGAUGGGGCGUAG
rnacentral:rRNA from 1 species